ACCUCUGACAUGUAUAGCAAUUGUAAGUCGCUUUGGAUCAAAGCGUCCGCUAAAUGAGUAAAUGUAUGAAAACCAUGCCGCCCGUGAACAUGCGCUCAUACGCAUGUGCACGUGCACGAAAUGAAACUCACGCAUUUGGCUGAGUGGUGCAACAGUGGUGUCUUUGCAUUCCAGCAAUGACAUUAGUGGGACCAGUCCAGACAACACAGGACGUGAUUAUCUGUCUUUUAGUGAAGUUCUAGUUACAACUCUAUACUAAUGCAAGAUGGAAAGCAGAGGAUUCACAUUGACUAUUAAAGUGUUGAUUAGCAGGGCAGACUGGAUCUGGAUGUGCAUCUUUCAAAGGGAAAGCCCCCUUAAGUCGGUUUUCCAACAUGGGAAGUCGGGAAAAACUGCACUAACCCGACUUCGUGAUCCAAGAUGGCUGUCGGGGUAUCAACAGUUAGUGAAAGCUGUAGUUUAUACAGUUUAUUAGCACUUCUGUGUACUGAAACACAAAGCCAGCUGCGGUCUGUUGACGUGUUGCUACAGUGUUUAAUAUGAGUAAAUACCAGAUGGUCGAGCGAUGUUUUCCGACUUGUUAACUGCAACGCCGUCAACUCGGGUGUGACGUCAUUCCCAGCUCCGACCUCCGACUUCUAAGGUAAAUGGAAGGCAGUAUUAACGUCACAUAGUGAUGUCAUAGUAUAAAUAGGAUUUUCUUUUUGAAAAAUGAUUAAAGAAAACCCGGGGAGCCAAUUUGAAUGGGUUUGAAGCAGCUGAUAACAUAUUGAUAUUUAUAAUUUACAGGGGCUGAUGCCAGACGUUUUUAGAAGGUCACACAGACCCAGCUGAAAUACAGGCAACCUCAGCCAGUAAAAGCACAGCCAGAGGUCUACAGGCAGCAUCAAAUACAAGCAGCUCAGACCUUAAUGGAGGAUUGAGUUAGUGUGCAGAGGUCCACUCAAAUCAGCAGUGGUAUUUUCUGGAAGAGGUUUCCAUUCAGGCUUAUUACAGAGACAGACUGUUUUAAAGGAGACUUAGUAGUGAGAUCACUGCAUUGUCAAGUGUGACUGUACAGCAAUGGCAAAUUGUUUUCAUGGCUCAAACGUCAGACAUGUCUGAAAUAGGAAAACUGAGGUUUUCCUAUUUCUGGAACAGAACCCAGAUGUCCUGGUUUCAUGUCAGAUGUCUUUAUGUAAACACCUAGGCUUACUCAUGAACAGGGCUGAGGAGUUGAAGUGAGCAUGAGUAUAAUACAGGUAACUAUGCUUCAAGUGACCACCGCUCCCUCUACUGUCCAGUGAUAUCGGUGAGUAUUUUGAUUUGGUGACAGCAGGGCACAAUCUGCUGCCACAGCUCCACCUGCCUUCAUCUCACCAGGUAAUAUUUUUAAUUGGGUUGUAACUUAAAGUAGAAGAAAUAAAAAGCAUGAAUUGGAAUAAAAAAUAGCCAGUAUUCAAAAGUAACAGCCUGUAUGCAGCCUGCACACAUGAUCAUUUUCACACACUGUAUUUAUUAUUUUCACAUGACUGAUGGCUUUUGAAAGUCUCCCUUUUGAUUUCUUGGUUCUUCUUGGCGUCCUGCCUUGCUCUGCCCUAGAAAUGUGUAAAGUACUUGACACUGUCACCUAACAUUAGAGUUGUAUGCUGUUAACUGAUUUAUGGAAGGUACAUUUGAAAGGUGACAAGGUAAUAUGCUAGGAUGGUGACACUGGAUCAAGGUCACAGCUGGCUUUUGCUUCCUCACUGCGUGUUUCUCAUGCUGUAGUAUGUAGAUGCAAAAAUUCAAUCUGUAAUCCAUGAUAUGCCAUAUUGGAUGCAAUAAAUAGUUGUAAAACCAGA